AGUGUCAGUUCUGAGUCGAAGAGUAGCCAACCGAGUAUUAGCACGCAGACAGUCUUCAUAUGGCCGAGUACCUGGAAUGAGACGGCCGAGAAACGGCCGAUGCACAUGUACUGGCUGGCGUUGCAGAAGACAGCGAGUGAACACGAGAGGAGCAGGAAGAAGAUUGCACCAUAAGAGAAAUGGUAAUUGAGUAAAAUUUUGCCGUUGAGGAAGUAAUCGAUGAAAGGUCCGAGAAUCAGGAGAGACAGCGCUUGAAUCGGAGCUGUCUUGCUCAGUAAUUCGAUCGAGCCGAUGGAGUACUUGGUCUGCAAGGAGCCGAUUGUAAUUUGCUGCAAAGAUGUCGCCAACACCGCAACACAAGCACACAAGAACCCCUUCGCAUUCACCUUCACAUCCGUAACCGUACAAACCCCAACGCCAAUCACCACUCCCACCACAGCAACCUUCACCUGCGUAGAGUAGCGCUUAUUGUGAAGUACCCACUCCAUCACACACACCACCGGAAUCAUGCUAAGCUUCGAGAUCUGAUAAAACCCAACCGAAUUCAACAUGAGGCUAAGAUUCAUCCCGGUAAUCGAAAGAUUAGCCACAAUCGAAAACCACAAGAGCUCCCACAGCGGCACGUGCUUCGCCGCCGAGGAGUACCCGGCCGCGUUUGACACGAACCCGAAGAACCCCGUCACGGCGAAAUGGAGCCCGGUUAGCGUAGUCGCGAAGGCGAAGGCGUAACCGGCCGGCGACAUGAGCUGCUUGUUCGCCAUGAUAAUGCCGACGGAGCUGAUGACGUUCAUCGCCCAGACGCCGACAUCCGGCACAUGCGCCGACGCCGACUUGCUCUCCG
rnacentral:misc_RNA from 1 species